GAUGAAGAACGCAGCGAAAUGCGAUAAGUAAUGUGAAUUGCAGAAUUCAGUGAAUCAUCGAAUCUUUGAACGCACAUUGCGCCCGCCAGUAUUCUGGCGGGCAUGCCUGUCCGAGCGUCAUUUCAACCAUCAAGCCCCCGGCUUGUGUUGGGGACCUGCGGCUGCCGCAGGCCCUGAAAACCAGUGGCGGGCUCGCUAGUCACUCCGAGCGUAGUAAUACAUCUCGCUCAGGGCGUGCUGCGGGUUCCGGCCGUUAAAAGCCUUAUUUUACCCAAGGUUGACCUCGGAUCAGGUAGGAAGACCCGCUGAACUUAAGCAUAUCAAUAAGCGGAGGA
rnacentral:misc_RNA from 1 species